AUUGAACGCUGGCGGCAUGCUUUACACAUGCAAGUCGAACGGUAACAGGCCUUCUGGUGCUGACGAGUGGCGAACGGGUGAGUAAUGCAUCGGAACGUACCCAGAGGUGGGGGAUAACGCAGCGAAAGCUGUGCUAAUACCUCAUGGGAUCUGAGUAUGAAAUCGGGGGACCGAGCAGCAAUGUUUGGCCUCUCGCGUUUGGAGCGGCCGAUGUGGGAUUAGCUAGUGGGGGGGGUAAAUGCCUACCAAGUGGACGAUCGGUGGCUGGUCUGGGAGGACGACCAGCCACCCUGGAACUGAGACACGGCCCAGAGUCCUACGGGAGGCAGCAGUGGGGAAUUUUGGACAAUGGGCGCAAGCCUGAUCCAGCAAUGCCGCGUGCGGGAAGAAGGCCUUCGGGUUGUAAACCGCUUUUGGCAGGAACGAAACGGUGUCCGCUAAUACCGGGCGCUAAUGACGGUACCUGCAGAAUAAGCACCGGCUAACUACGUG
rnacentral:rRNA from 1 species